rnacentral:lncRNA from 1 species
GCACCAGCCCGCAGUGGUGUGUGGGUUACGAAAGAAGGACCCGAUACUACACCAUCUACAGACAGGCAUACAGCCUGGAGCAGCAGACAGUCUACAAGUGCUGCCCUGGUUGGAGCCGGUGGGACAAUGAACCUGGCUGCCUAUGCUCUGUCUCUGCAGUGGAGACUUGUGUCCAUGGGAAGAGAUGCUCAGAGGGUGAAGUCCAGCGGUGCCAGUGUUCAGAGGGUUUUCAGGGACCCCACUGUCAAUAUGGUGAGUUGCGAACAAGACCAUUUUAUUAUGAUUUGGAGCUGUCUGCCUUGCUUU